rnacentral:rRNA from 1 species
CCCUUAGAUGUUCUGGGCUGCACGCGCGCUACACUGAUGCACUCAACGAGUUUACGACCUUGCCCGAUAGGGUUGGGUAAUCUUUUUAAAAUGCAUCGUGAUGGGGAUAGAUUAUUGCAAUUAUUAAUCUUCAACGAGGAAUUCCUAGUAAGCGCGAGUCAUCAGCUCGUGCUGAUUACGUCCCUGCCCUUUGUACACACCGCCCGUCGCUCCUACCGAUUGAGUGCUCAGGUGAAUAAUUCGGACUGCAGCAAUGUUUGGAUCCCGAACGUUGCAGCGGAAAGUUUAGUGAACCUUAUCACUUGGAGGAAGGAGAAGUCGUAACA